rnacentral:rRNA from 1 species
CCUACGGGCGGCUGCAGUAGGGAAUAUUGGGCAAUGGACGCAAGUCUGACCCAGCCACGCCGCGUGAAGGAUGACUGCCCUAUGGGUUGUAAACUUCUUUUGUAUGGGAAGAAACCUCCGACCGUGUUCGGAGCUGACGGUACCAUAAGAAUAAGCAUCGGCUAACUCCGUGCCAGCAGCCGCGGUAAUACGGAGGAUGCAAGCGUUGUUGGGAUUAAUGGGGUCGAAAGGGGGGAAUUACGGAAGUGGUGAAAGCUCGCAGCUUAACUGUGAAAAUGCCAUUGAAACUGAUUUUCUUGAGUUCGAUUGAGGUAGAUGGAAUGUAUCAUGUAGCGGUGAAAUGCUUAGAUAUGAUACAGAACACCAAUUGCGAAGGCAGUCUACUAAGUCGAUACUGACGCUGAGGCACGAAAGCAUGGGGAGCAAACAGGAUUAGAUACCCCAGUAGUC